CGUGCCUAACACAUGCAAGUCGAACGAGAUCCGAUGGGAGCUUGCUCCCGGAAGAUCUAGUGGCGAACGGGUGAGUAACACGUGAGAAACCUGCCCUGGAGUGGGGAAUAACUCGGGGAAACUCGAGCUAACACCGCAUACCCUCGGAUGGUCGCAUGGCCGACCGAGGAAAGAUUUAUCGCUCUAGGAGGGUCUCGCGGCCUAUCAGCUAGUUGGUGGGGUAACGGCCUACCAAGGCAACGACGGGGUAGCUGGUUUGAGAGAACGAUCAGCCACACUGGGACUGAGACACGGCCCAGACUCCUACGGGAGGCAGCAGUGGGGAAUCUUGCGCAAUGGGCGAAAGCCUGACGCAGCAACGCCGCGUGCGGGAUGACGGCCUUCGUGGUUGUAAACCGCUUUCAGCAGGGACGAAAAUGACGGUACCCGCAGAAGAAGCCCCGGCUAACUACGUG
rnacentral:rRNA from 1 species